rnacentral:rRNA from 1 species
AACGAACGCUGGCGGCAUGCCUAACACAUGCAAGUCGAACGCGUGGCUUCGGCCACGAGUGGCGCACGGGUGAGUAACGCGUGGGAACCUGCCCAUCGGUACGGAACAACCGCGGGAAACUGCGGCUGAUACCGUAUAUACCCUGCGGGGAAGGAAUUAUUCGCCGAUGGAGGGGCCCGGCCGUCGGAGUUAGGUUAGGUUGGUGGGGUAACGGG